AGAAGUUACAGGAGCUAAUAUCACAUUAGUCAGGAAGGUACAUUGCCCAGGGUACUAAAGGAAAAUGGGGAAAUGUGGUGUAAAGAGAGGUUACAGGAGCUAAAAUCACAUUUGUCAGGAAGGUACAUUGUCCAGGGUACUAAAGAAAAGGGAGAAAAGGGGUGUGAAGAGAGGUUACAGGAGCUAAAAUCACAUUAGUCAGGAAGGUACAUUGCCCAGGGUACUAAAGAAAAGG